CCGACCACACCGUCUCCUCGCGUUUUCUCUCACGAGAGGAGGAAUCAGCGAAGAAAGCGCCGCCGCUUCACCCGCGUCGCCUCCUCCGCCGCCAUCCCUUUUCCUCCCUCUAACUCCCUAAUUCUGCCGAGCUUCUUCGCCGCAACCACCGUUCGUCGUCCAAGUUUCACCGGCUGUUGGAUCCAGCGCCUCACAGCUGAGGAGAUCUGCACAACAAGCAAAACAGGGGAGGUUUGUGCUUUUCUUUUCCAGCCUCAAAAUUCUGAAAUAAAGGAUAUUCAGAUAGAUCGUUUGUGUAAAAAUAAACUAGAUGGCUUUUAUUGUUUUGGUGCAAACCUGUCGGCAAUCGUUUCUAGAUCAAGCUGUAUAAUUAUGUGUGAAUCAUGCAUAUUGUAA
rnacentral:lncRNA from 1 species